rnacentral:rRNA from 1 species
AGCGAACGCUGGCGGCAGGCCUAACACAUGCAAGUCGAACGAAGUCUUCGGACUAAGUGGCGGACGGGUGAGUAACACGUGGGAACGUGCCUUUAGGUUCGGAAUAACUCAGGGAAACUUGUGCUAAUACUGAAUGUGACCUUCGGGGGAAAGAUUUAUCGCCUUUAGAGCGGCCCGCGUCUGAUUAGCUAGUUGGUGAGGUAAAGGCUCACCAAGGGGACGAUCAGUAGCUGGUCUGAGAGGAUGAUCAGACACAUUGGGACUGAGACACGGCCCAAACUCCUACGGGAGGCAGCAGUGGGGAAUCUUGCGCAAUGGGCGAAAGCCUGACGCAGCCAUGCCGCGUGAAUGAUGAAGGUCUUAGGAUUGUAAAAUUCUUUCACCGGGGACGAUAAUGACGGUACCCGGAGAAGGAGCCCCGGCUAACUUCGUGCCAGCAGCCGCGGUAAAAC